rnacentral:rRNA from 1 species
GGAAUUGUUCACAAUGGGCGCAAGCCUGAUGACGCAACGCCGCGUGGAGGAUGAAGGUCUUCGGAUUGUAAACUCCUGUUGCUCGGGACGAAAUGCUCCAACCCAAUACGUUGGAGUUUGACGGUACCGAGUGAGGAGACCCCGGCUAACUCUGUGCCAGCAGCCGCGGUAAUACAGAGGGGGCAAGCGUUGUUCGGAAUUACUGGGCGUAAAGGGCGCGUAGGCGGCCUGUUAAGUCGAACGUGAAAUCCCCGGGCUCAACCCGGGAACUGCGUCCGAAACUGGCAGGCUUGAAUCCGGGAGAGGGAUGUGGAAUUCCAGGUGUAGCGGUGAAAUGCGUAGAUAUCUGGAGGAACAUCGGUGGCGAAGGCGACAUCCUGGACCGGUAUUGACGCUGAGGCGCGAAAGCCAGGGGAGCAAAC